GACGGACGCUGGCGGCGUGCUUAACACAUGCAAGUCGAGCGGUAAGGCCCUUUCGGGGGUACACGAGCGGCGAACGGGUGAGUAACACGUGGGUGACCUGCCUUUAGCUCUGGGAUAAGCCUGGGAAACUGGGUCUAAUACCGGAUAUGACCCUAUGGCGCAUGUUGUGGGGUGGAAAGCCUUGUGCGGCUAGGGAUGGGCCCGCGGCCUAUCAGCUUGUUGGUGGGGUGAUGGCCUACCAAGGCGACGACGGGUAGCCGGCCUGAGAGGGCGACCGGCCACACUGGGACUGAGACACGGCCCAGACUCCUACGGGAGGCAGCAGUGGGGAAUCUUGCGCAAUGGGCGAAAGCCUGACGCAGCGACGCCGCGUGAGGGAUGACGGCC
rnacentral:rRNA from 1 species